UUCCUCCUUCCAAAUAUCUCCCGUUCUUGCUGCUCCGAGUCGAGCGCAUCCCGGUGAAUGGUGGCGGCGCAGAGGGUGAGCGGCGGGCGAGAGGAGGCGCUGAGGAGGAAUAGGCCGGCGGCGCGGGCGGCGAAGGGAACGACGUGACGGUGGAGUUGCCGGCGCCGAUGGGGCAUGCCGCGUCAAGGACCCCGAGCAACUGCGGCAGCGGCGGAAGGCAGCGCGCCGAGCGACGGGAGCGACUGGACGAGGACGCAGGGAGCGUCCACCAGAGCGAGGGCAGGAGCCCAUCACGGAGGAUCAGGUCUUGGGGCAGCAGCGUCGGGUAAAGAAGAGGAAGCAACUGGGUGGCUCCACGGCCAUGGAGGCGAGGAUGUGGUUGAGUGGGAUCCUUGGGUUGCGGAGAUGGAGGAGGUGAGGCCGAGCUGGUCAUAUGCUGUUUCAGGUACGGGCUGAAUUGGUUCAGGUUUGGUUCUCCCUCCUCUCUCUGUAUUUUCCUCUCCGUCUCUCUACUCUCACUCUCCUUUCCCCCCUCUUUCUCAUGGACGAGGGCGGGGGUGGCAGGGAAUGGAGGAGCAUAGGGUGCGAGCCGAGGGGAGUGCCCGUAGUAGCUAUCACCGUCCUCAGCUCCACACUACCCAGAUGCCGCCUUGAUGCCGCUGAACAGAGAAGGGGGUGUGAACCGAUGAGGCUGUCAGUAUAUUUUUUGACAACGUGACUGUCAGUAUAUAGUUGUUGUAUCUGCUUGAUUCUUGGCAACCCCUACAUUCACCUAACUAAACGAUUCCUACUACAUGUGCAUUCUGUGUUGGUGAAUAAUAUUUAAUUCAAUAAACAGUAGUUGUGGAAGUAGUAUCAAGUGCCAUUAUUAGUCACAAAGUGGUGGGAGCUUAUCCUCUAAUUUUGUUUUUCCAGGUGAGAAUAAUCUAAAAAGGAACCAUAGCUGAUUGAUGUCUUUUUGAUGGCGUUCUCUACAUGUUGCUUGAGUUACUACUUCAUAAAUUGUUGCCAGUUUCCUUUCUGAUUUCCCCUUGGGGUGCAGAGAGAGCUUCCAGGCCGAACCCCGCGGUCUGGUAGGUAGAAGGCAAAGCAAUAUCUCGUCUAUCUUUGUUUACCUUGGCACUGGGUUGACAUAUGUGUGGUUUCAGCUUAAAGCCAAUACAAUACAAGUGAGAUAGCUAACCGUACCAAUCAGUUGUGCGGACACGUGAAAUGUCUUAUGUCAUUGGUGGAUCUCCCAUGGGUUGGAUUUUUUGUGUGGCCUGAAGGAAAAGAAGAAUAGCUGUCACUUCAAGCUACAAAGUCAAAUAUCACUCACUCAGCCACUCAGGUGACUCAGAGAUUCUUAGCUCUAUAAGCAUUAUUGCUCCUCAUGAUUGUUUGCAGUAUAUGUUACACCAAUGUUAUUUUCUCCCUUUUUAGCUGAAUGAUUACUGACUGUUUGGACAGAAUAAUGGUCCAUGUGAGAGAAAUAACAUGUUGAUAUCAUCCUGAAAUAAUAUAAGCGGGAGGGGACGAGGUUGGUAGCCAUAAGUCAUUGGCUCGUAAUUUGCCUAUAUUUAUUAUACUAGCUCUAAAGUGUAAGAUGUCUCCUGCUCUAUACGGUUAAUUUGUGGGCAUAUCAUUGCUACUGUCUCCUAAUUGGGUGAUGAGCAUAUGGUGUAGAUUUUUGUGAGCACGUGUUUGUGAUCAGACUACCAUGGUAUCUAGCUUCAUUUCUAUCAUGAUACUGAAUUUCUUGGUGCUUCAGUGUGUUAUCUGGUGAUUUAUCUGGCCAGGGAUAAAUAUGUAAUGGAGGAUAUAUUAUUGUUUUAGUCACCACUUUUUCUUGUGCUACUAGGCACAAAUUUCUCACAUUAGCAGAUCUGUUUGUGUGCAUCUUUUCUUUUUAUACACACACCGUUCUUUUUUUAUUGAUAUAAUUUAUAAACAAGUUCUAAAUAUGUCCUCACUUUCUUAGCUCUGUGGGGUGUGUUUCCUUUUGCUGUGAGGUGGGCUUGCUGUCCUGCUUUGCACAUCUUGGUUCAUAUCACAGAGAGUAAUUUGUAUGUUUGCUCCGCUCUUGUGAUUCUGCAGGUGUUUAAAGGUCUUCUCAGCAGAAGUGGUAAAACAUAAGCUUUAUCUUUUCCAGUUCGAAUUAUCCCUAAAUCUGACAACUCACUUAUUUAGACGUUCUGGGUGUUAAAUAACAUGUUUCAGCAUCAUUAUUAAUUGUUAAGGUAAGCUAAAUUUAUGACAACAUUUUCUUACAUGUUUACAAGAGUCUCAGCAGUAUUACUAUUAUAUUCUCACAUUUGCCUUACCCCAAAUUAGGCUAUCACUUUUAAACUUUUCUCACCAGAACUAUCCCUUGGUAACAGGAUGGCUUUACAGCACUAGACGUAUUGGCUGUUGAGUGGCUCCAAUCAGGGCUAAUACACUCUGGCCAGUAGGAAGUUUACAUGUCGGUGUGAUGUACCUCAGCCAGUUCAUUGAGCAAAGUGGUUGGAAGCUCCCAAAAUGAUGCGAGGCACGCUUCGGGAGAGCACACGGUGAAGGCGGCGGCGCGUCUCCUCGAGAAGGUCGUCCACAACCGGCUCCGGCGGCAGCGGGCGAGCCGGGCAUCCGGUCGAGAAGGGAGGAGUACCGCUGCGCCGGCGUGUGGCAAGAUCGAGGAGGAGCUUGAGGAGGACGUCCAUGGAGGGUCCGUCGCGGCGGGGCGAGCACGAGUUCGAGGAGGCGCGGUUGGCGGAAUCCCUUGCGCAUCUGGCGGAACCGGCCGGAGAAGGAGUGGCCAGCCCGAGCGAUGGAGGUGCCUUCAGCAGUCACCACGUCUUGGGCGGCCGAU